UACGGGGGAGCAAGCGUUGUUCGGAUUUACUGGGCGUAAAGGGCGCGUAGGCGGUCAGCACAAGUCAGUUGUGAAAUCUCCGGGCUUAACUCGGAAAGGUCAACUGAUACUGUGCGACUAGAGUGCAGAAGGGCAACUGGAAUUCUUGGUGUAGCGGUGAAAUGCGUAGAUAUCAAGAGGAACACCUGCGGCGAAGGCGGGUUGCUGGGCUGAGCAC
rnacentral:rRNA from 1 species